rnacentral:rRNA from 1 species
CCUACUGGCGGCAGCAGUGAGGAAUUUUGCGCAAUGGGAGCAAUCCUGACGCAGCAACGCCGCGUGGGUGAUGAAGGCCUUCGGGUCGUAAAGCCCUGUCAGGUGGGAAGAAUGUCCCGGGACUGAACAGGUUUCGGGAGUGACGGUACCACCAGAGGAAGCACCGGCUAACUCCGUGCCAGCAGCCGCGGUAAUACGGAGGGUGCAAGCGUUAUUCGGAAUUACUGGGCGUAAAGCGCGUGUAGGCGGCCCUGCAAGUCUGAUGUGAAAGCCCCGGGCUUAACCCGGGAAGUGCAUUGGAAACUGCAGGUCUUGAGUACGGGAGAGGAUGGGGGAAUUCCCGGUGUAGAGGUGAAAUUCGUAGAGAUCGGGAGGAAUAUCAGUGGCGAAGGCGCCCAUCUGGACGGUAACUGACGCUGAGACGCGAAAGCUUGGGGAGCAAACA